UACGUAGGGCGCAAGCGUUGUCCGGAAUUAUUGGGCGUAAAGAGCUCGUAGGCGGUUUGUCGCGUCUGCUGUGAAAUCCUCAGGCUCAACCUGGGGCUUGCAGUGGGUACGGGCAGACUAGAGUGCGGUAGGGGUGACUGGAAUUCCUGGUGUAGCGGUGGAAUGCGCAGAUAUCAGGAGGAACACCGGUGGCGAAGGCGGUUCACUGGGCUAUUACUAACACUGAGAGACGAAAGCUAGGGUAGCAAAUGGG
rnacentral:rRNA from 1 species